GACGAACGCUGGCGGCGUGCUUAACACAUGCAAGUCGAACGGAAAGGCCCUGCUUUUGUGGGGUGCUCGAGUGGCGAACGGGUGAGUAACACGUGAGUAACCUGCCCUUGACUUUGGGAUAACUUCAGGAAACUGGGGCUAAUACCGGAUAGGAGCUCCUGCUGCAUGGUGGGGGGGGGAAAGUUUCGGCGGUUGGGGAUGGACUCGCGGCUUAUCAGCUUGUUGGUGGGGUAGUGGCUUACCAAGGCUUUGACGGGUAGCCGGCCUGAGAGGGUGAACGGCCACAUUGGGACUGAGAUACGGCCCAGACUCCUACGGGAGGCAGCAGUGGGGAAUAUUGCACAAUGGGCGGAAGCCUGAUGCAGCAACGCCGCGUGCGGGAUGACGGCCUUCGGGUUGUAAACCGCUUUCGCCUGUGACGAAGCGUGAGUGACGGUAAUGGGUAAAGAAGCACCGGCUAACUACGUG
rnacentral:rRNA from 1 species